rnacentral:rRNA from 1 species
GAACGCUGGCGGCGUGCCUAAUACAUGCAAGUCGAGCGGAGUUUUUCUGGUGCUUGCACUAGAAAAGCUUAGCGGCGAACGGGUGAGUAACACGUAAAGAACCUGCCUCAUAGACGGGGACAACUAUUGGAAACGAUAGCUAAUACCGGAUAACAACAUAAAUCGCAUGAUAUAUGUUUAAAAGUUGGUUUCGGCUAACACUAUGAGAUGGCUUUGCGGUGCAUUAGCUAGUUGGUGGGGUAAAGGCCUACCAAGGCGACGAUGCAUAGCCGACCUGAGAGGGUGAUCGGCCACACUGGGACUGAGACACGGCCCAGACUCCUACGGGAGGCAGCAGUAGGGAAUCUUCCGCAAUGGGCGAAAGCCUGACGGAGCAACGCCGCGUGAGUGAAGAAGGAUUUCGGUUCGUAAAGCUCUGUUGUUAGGGAAGAAUGAUUGUGUAGUAACUAUA